CCAAGCCCUAUACCAAGUCCUGUUUUGGGGCGAAAGCCAAAUGCUAGUCAGUCUUUGCUUGUAUGGUGUAAAGAAGUUACAAAGAACUACCGAGGAGUAAAAAUCACCAAUUUUACUACAUCGUGGAGAAAUGGUUUAUCUUUUUGUGCAAUAUUACACCACUUUAGACCAGAUUUAAUUGACUACAAGUCUCUGAAUCCUCAAGAUAUUAAAGAGAACAACAAAAAGGCAUACGAUGGAUUUGCCAGCAUAGGAAUUUCCCGAUUAUUGGAACCUUCUGAUAUGCAUCGAUUGUUAUCUAGACAAGAAGAACUUAAGGAAAGAGCAAGAGUUCUGCUUGAGCAAGCAAGAAGAGAUGCAGCCUUAAAGGCGGGGAAUAAGCACAAUACCAACACAGCCACCCCAUUCUGCAACAGGCAGCUAAGUGAUGUGAGGAGCAUUGGUUAAAAAAGACCAUAAGUUGUUCAUUGUAAUCAUGGGGAGGAGGGAAGUAAUUUGCUUGUAUUUCUGCUAUGUUAUUUUUCUACGGACUGUACAUUGUGAAUACUUGGUGCACUUACUGAACUGAUAAAGAUAAAUUCAUACUUGUAGGACCAUUUGAUCAUUAUUCCUACAGAGCAGUGUUAGUGAUGAGGAAAAGUAAGAUCUGGGAAUAUAAUUUCCACAUAUACAUGAAUAAUCUGUUUUUUGUUAAUUUAUAUUUUAUAACUGUAGUUGUACUCUAAGAUUGUAUUUUGUCAAUGGAAGUUAAUUUUGUUGGAAAUGUUUGAAUAUAAUACUGAUGUCUAUUAUUUAUUGAAUACCUACUAAGUAUUUCAGGAACAAUAAUUUUGUUUUACUUAACUCCAUGGAGACUGAGGCCAAUAGGCAAGGUAACUUGUACAAG
rnacentral:lncRNA from 10 species